rfam:Schistosoma margrebowiei strain Zambia genome assembly, scaffold: SMRZ_scaffold0001724
AUCCGGCUGGCGAGUCCGAAAUAGGACGAAACGCGCAUUUCGGAU